rnacentral:lncRNA from 1 species
AACACUUCAACAUUUCCUCUCUCUAACUUUCUCUCUCUCUCUCUCUACACAAAACUCACCUCCAUUUUUUCAUUCUCUUCAUUUCAUCAAGAUGGAAGCAACUACCCUUACCAACGCCCACCAAAACUGUUCCUUCUGCCUCCCGUCCGCCAAGACCACUGAUCCUCUCAAUUGGGGAACGGCCGCGGAGGCGCUCAAGGGGAGCCACCUCGACGAGGUCAAGCGCAUGGUGGCCGAAUACCGCCAGCCGCUGGUCCGCCUCGGCGGCGAGACGCUCACCAUCGCUCAGGUGGCAGCGGUGUCUGGCCACGACCAAGGCGUGAGGGUGGAGCUGUCGGAGUCCGCUAGGGAAGGUGUUAAGGCGAGCAGUGAUUGGGUGAUGAACAGCAUGAACAAUGGCACUGAUAGUUACGGCGUCACCACCGGCUUCGGUGCCACCUCACACCGCCGAACCAAACAAGGCGGUGCUCUGCAGAAAGAACUCAUCAGGUAACUAACUCUACUCCCUCCGUAUAUACACACACUCUACGUAUACAUGUCUAGGCUUCAAAGUCGAAGUAUUUGGUACGUAGACGUAGUAUUUUCCUUCUUUUCAAUCUUUCAUGUGUACCGUGCUGCUUGCUAGGCACGAUACUGGUUACCUAAAUUUAACAACAUCACAAAUUACUACCAUACCAUCACAUCGUCAUUUAUUCACAGACAUGCAUGAUUAAGGUCUCCUAAAAAUAUCGCAAACCAAUUUUCACCUACAUGACCAAACUCUUUAUAAAUUCUUAUUUUUAAACUCUCAUUUAAUUUUAUAUGACGUAAUAUUAGCUAGGAAAAAUAUUUUUUUCCUCCUUCUGUUUUCUCAUUAAUUUAUUGGUUUUUAUAUAAUGUAUGACGAUAUUUUUAUUCAUAAUGUAUGGAAAUAAUUUUUAUUUUAAGCUGGACGGCUUUUAGGGAAAUUCCUUAUUUACCUAACAAAACUUGUGUUCUCACACAGAAUUGACUUUAUAUUGUGUAAGCUUGUAAUUUUGUCUCAACAUUAUUUAGAAAAAUAUUUUGCUAUGCUCAUACUAAAUUCUCGUUUUCAAUUAUGUAACUGUGAUGGGAAUAUUUUUCUUCUUUACACAAGGCAGUAUUAUAUUAUAUAUUAAAUAUUUUUAUACAACAAAAGAGAAGUUCUUAGUUCGGUCUCCUUUUUAGAUUUAAUUUUUGUAUUUUGUAAUAAUUACUCCAAACGUAUAUGCUCCAUGUGGAUUUAUUAUAUUGUUAAUUUUAAAGAAAAAAUUCCUAAUUAUGAUUCUUUUAUUCUUUUUCAGGUUUUUAAACGCUGGAAUAUUUGGAAAUGGGACUGAAUCAUCCCACACUCUGCCACACACUGCAACUAGAGCAGCCAUGUUAGUGAGGAUCAACACUCUUCUCCAAGGUUACUCAGGCAUCAGAUUUGAAAUCUUAGAAUCCAUCACCAAGCUCCUUAACAACAACGUUACCCCAUGUUUGCCACUUCGUGGUACAAUCACAGCUUCUGGAGAUCUUGUUCCACUUUCCUAUAUUGCUGGUUUGCUCACUGGCAGACCUAACUCCAAAGCUGUUGGACCUUCUGGAGAAGUACUUACUGCUAAGCAAGCUUUUGAAUUGGCUAACAUCAAUUCUGAGUUCUAUGAAUUGCAACCCAAGGAAGGCCUUGCCCUUGUUAAUGGCACGGCUGUCGGUUCUGGCAUGGCUUCUAUAGUUCUCUUUGAUGCAAAUAUACUAGCUGUGUUGUCUGAAGUUCUAUCAGCUAUUUUUGCCGAAGUGAUGCAAGGGAAACCUGAGUUUACUGAUCAUUUGACACACAAGUUGAAGCACCACCCUGGUCAAAUUGAGGCUGCUGCCAUUAUGGAGCACAUUUUGGAUGGAAGUUCCUACAUGAAGGAUGCUAAGAAGCUGCAUGAAAUAGAUCCGUUGCAAAAACCAAAACAAGAUAGAUAUGCCCUCAGAACUUCACCACAGUGGCUUGGUCCUCUCAUUGAAGUCAUUCGUUUCUCCACCAAGUCAAUUGAGAGAGAGAUUAACUCCGUGAAUGACAACCCUCUUAUUGAUGUUUCAAGGAACAAGGCAUUGCAUGGUGGUAAUUUCCAAGGAACCCCAAUUGGAGUCUCCAUGGACAACACUCGUUUGGCUCUUGCAUCUAUCGGNNNNNNNNNNNNNNNNNNNNNNNNNNNNNNNNNNNNNNNNNNNNNNNNNNNNNNNNNNNNNNNNNNNNNNNNNNNNNNNNNNNNNNNNNNNNNNNNNNNNNNNNNNNNNNNNNNNNNNNNNNNNNNNNNNNNNNNNNNNUCUGAACUCCAGUAUCUGGCAAAUCCAGUAACAAGCCAUGUCCAAAGUGCUGAGCAACACAACCAAGAUGUGAACUCUUUGGGUUUGAUUUCAGCUAGGAAGACAAAUGAAUCUAUUGAAAUCCUUAAGCUCAUGUCUUCCACGUUCUUGAUGGGACUUUGCCAAGCAAUUGACUUGAGGCAUUUGGAGGAGAAUUUGAAAAGCUCGGUCAAGAACACUGUGAGUCAAGUUUCCAAGAGGACUCUUACCACAGGUGGCAACGGAGAACUCCAUCCUUCAAGAUUUUGCGAAAAGGAUCUGCUGAAAGUGGUUGACAGGGAGUAUGUAUUUUCCUACAUAGAUGACCCAUGCAGUGGUACAUACCCACUGAUGCAAAAACUUAGGCAAGUGCUUGUAGACCAUGCCUUGAUAAAUGCAGAGAAUGAGAAGGAUGUCAACACAUCAAUCUUUCAAAAGAUUGCAACCUUUGAGGAGGAGUUGAAGACCAUCUUGCCAAAGGAGGUUGAAAGUACAAGGGCUGCUUAUGAGAGUGGGAAAGCUGCGAUUCCAAACAAGAUAAAAGAAUGCAGAUCUUACCCACUCUACAAGUUUGUGAGAGAGGAGUUGGGCACUGGGUUGCUAACUGGAGAAAAGGUGAAGUCACCAGGUGAAGAGUUUGACAAAUUAUUCACAGCAAUAUGCCAGGGCAAAAUUAUUGAUCCUCUACUCGAAUGCCUUGGAGAGUGGAAUGGAGCUCCUCUUCCAAUAUGUUAAUUUUAUUGUCACUUUCUAAAAUGUUUUCUUUGUAUCUAUGAACUCAAUGUUUUAAAACUAUGCAAUGUAAGUCAAUGUUUUAAAAUUUGGAUUGGUAUUCAAUUCAAUUUGAAUAUAUGUCAAUGCAUCAUCAAUUAUAUUAACAAGAUAUUAAUUAAUCUGCGUAAACCGUUCUUUAUUAAAAAAAAUAAAAAUGUAUGUUUGCAAAUCUUGUAUACCAUACACAAGAAACACAACAAAUUAACACAGUUUUAUAAACUCACAACAAAUUUGCUAGUUCACUUAUUGUUUAAAAACAAAAUAGAAACUUAAACUAAAAAUUUAAAUUUUUAAGAUGUAACUUUUUAUAUUUUAUUAUUUUUAAAAAAUAAAAAAUAAAAAUAUUUAUUUUAUAGAUAUAAUUUCUCUAAUACUAAGAAAAAUUAGGUGAAGUUAGGGUGCAUGGUCGACGGUGAUGAUUAAUUUAACCAUGAAGUUAAUCCUGAAUUGCGUAAUUAUCCACACUUGAUCAUUUCCCUCCCAAUGUUUUCUUUUUCAAUCAUAGUUUGUCGUCGUGGGAAAUCCUUUUUCUGACGAUGACAACUUGUUCUAUUUUCUUUUCUAUGCGUAAAUCCACCCCCGUAUGAACAAACUGAAGAUCCCAAAAUGUUAGAAGAAGAAACCCAUCAAAAAGUCAAGUUCAAAGACAAAGAAAAACUCGAGAAGCUCGGCUUUGCAACAUUUCCAUCACCACUGCCACAACCACCGCCGCUGUUGGCGCCGCCACUCCCCCAUUGCACGUGUCAUCCACCACUGGAAGAACCUCUUCCAAGUCAAUGUAUGUAGUCCGUUUUUAUUUGGCGGGUUAACCCGGUCGGAUCCAAACAGGUAAGACUGGUCCGAAGUGUGAUUCCAGUCAACAGUGGUUCCUUAUUAUAAAAAAGAAAAGAAAAAAGGGAUUUUUGGUGAUCGCCACAAAAUAAAAAAAAGAUUCAUGAUUAGAGCAGUUGACUUGAUUUCGAAUGUUACACAUCAGGCCAUGUGAUCCACACACUUCUUUACACAGACUUACUAUUCAUAUCUGCACAUGUCAUUUCACUUUGAUUCCAUAUAAAGUAUGUCUACUGUGAUUAGAUAAAUUCAUACUUGUACUAUUCUAAUUCAUCAAUUAAAUGAGUUUAGAUUUAUCACAAAAAAAAUAAUUUAAUUUAAUUUAAUUUGACAGUCACUUAGUUUGUAUGAAAUAUAUAUAUAUAUAUAUAUAUAUAUAUAUAUAUAUAUAUUCUGGCCGUUAUAAAGGACUUUAUAUAUGAUUGUCUUUUCAGAAACUUUUCCUUAAUAGUUCUUUUUAUAAUUAUUGGAUAAUUCUAACUAUUUUCAAUUUUGAAAAAUAUUUUUAAUAUUUUUUUUAAUUUUCAAGAAGCAAUCCAUAAUUACUUUGAUACCAUCAAUAAUUUUACAUUUACAUCACUUAUCACUCUUAAAAGUCAAAGUCAAUCACAUUUAAAAUAUACAUUCCUCUCUAAUUCUUUUGAGAGAUGAAACUCCAAAAUAAAAAAAUGAUAAUAACCUCAACUUAUACUUGAUCAAAACAAUAAUAUUUAAAAAUAAAAUAUCAAAAUUAGUAAAUAUGAAUUUAACUAUUUAACUGUAACUGUUUUUGGUUUUAACAAAUUAAUUGUAAUAUUUUAAAAUAAUUUAAGAAUAGAUAAUAAUAAUUUUUAAAUAAUUAAGAAUAAAAACUUUGAAAUUAAUCAUUUAAAAAUAAUUAACUAAAUCCAAUAUCUUUUUUAAAAAAAUGAAUAAUUUAGGUUUGAUUUACUUAUUUCAAUCCAAAUUUGUCUUAUCUUCAAAACAAUAUAUUCAUAACAUUUUAAAAAAAACUAUUAGUAAAUUUAAAAGGCAUAAUUUUUUUAGUGUUCAAAUGUUGAUCUAAAAGCUCAAGCGACAUAUACAAAGUAUAAUCAAAUUAAGCGAGGAGUUCUUCUUAUGUAGUGAAGAUGGGAUGUUCAAGCAACAUGUCCCUGAGUGCAAAAUCUAAGGUUAUAUAUAAUUACAGGAAAGUAUUCAACUAAAGUGUAUACUCUUUUAGUUAUCAACAAAAAAAAAUUAUAAAAAGGAUUAUAUAUAUAUAUAUGAUGUGAUCAAUUGGGAUUGUGGUAUUAAUUACAUAAAGUCAUAAAGACAAAAAAUUUCAACUUCACAAAUAGUUUAAAUAACCUAAAUUAAGUUGUUAUAUCAAUAAUAUUGUUUAUAGUAAAUUCAAAGUGUUACUUAAGAUCUCAUAUUAAAUAUAAAAAAACAAAACGAACAAUAUAUAAUUAUUAUUCGUCAAAUCUCUAUGCUAUUUUCCUUCCGGGAAAAAUUCAACACAAAAACCUACCCUUACAGAAAAGACACGGGCAAAACAAGAAGUUUGAUUUUAUCUUCUUAUAUUUUAAACAUUAUGCAUAAACUUAUGAUAACUUUACAAUUUAUUUUAAUAUCAUAAUUGUAAAAUUAAUAUUAAAUAUUUUUUUUACCGACACUAUAAAAAAAUUAUUAAAUAAAUUAAAUUUAGAGAUCAAAAUAAUUAGUUAUUAUUUAAUUAAAUUAGAUAUUAUUUUAUAAAUUAACAAAACUAUGAGUAUCUAAAGUAGUUUCUAUUAUUAAUAAAAAUUUAUAAAAUAGUUUUUAAAUUAUAUCUAACUAUUAGCUAUCAAAAUUUAGUUACUUAUUACUUUAUAUUUUAAAUUAAUUUUUAUUAAUAUUUUAGAGAUUAAUUUAAAAUUUAAAAUAUUAGUUACUAAAAUUUAGGUAACUAAUUUAGAUAUAAAUUUAAAAAUUAUUUAAUAAAUUUUUAUUAAUAAUAGAAAUCAUUUUAGACAAAUAAUUUUUUAAUCUCUAAAUUUAAAUUUAAUGUAAUUAAUAUAAUGAUUAAUUAUGUUUUUAUUUCUAAAUUUAAUUAUUAUGAUUUUCUUGUUGUAAUGGAAAAAAAGAAAAAUAUAAAAAAGAUAGUAACGUGUUUGAUUAUGCAUAUUAACUGUUCACGUGGAUUGAAAGAUGCUUACAUUGGAUAUGUUUGUUACUACUUAUUGAUUAUCGAUGAGUGCGAAGAAAUAAAAAAGAGAACCGUUGAAAGAGUUGAAAUUUUGCCUCCCCCAUUAUGACGUGGGAAGAGAAGAAAAAGAUAAGUAAUAACACAUAUAUUACUACUUUACUCAUUAUUUUAAACUUUAAACAACACUUCUCACAAUGCAUAAUCCAUUAAUUAUGACCUAUAGGAAUUAUUUAUAUAUGUAAUGUAACAAUGCUUAGGAGUAUGAUAAAUUAUGCAUUGAUGGUUUGUAAGCACAAAGGUUUUUUUGUAAUUUAAAUUUUCACUAUGGAUAAAUUUUAAUAAUAGUAGAAAAGAAAAUACUUUUAAACAUUAGAUUAAAUUCCCUCAACCAAACUAAUUGCAUAAAAAGAAGUGAUAGAAAAUAAUUAAUAUUAUAUUAUAUUAUUUAUAAUUUAAAAAUAUAUGAAAUUAAAGAAAUAUGAAAUAAAAAUUUAUUAAGCCUUAUAAAUAUUACGUAAUUUGUCCAAUUAUUUAUAAAUUUAGUCACUAUACAUUAUGAGGGUAAAAUAAUGUGAAUAAUUUAAUCAAGGAAAACAUAUUUGAUAUGUUGAAUUUUUAUUUAUAAUUUUUAAUUAAUUAUUUAAAAUUUAUUAAAUUAUAAAUGUUAUUUUUCAAUAUAUAAUUUACUAGACAUUCUUUUCUAUUUUAAAAAAGUGAUAUAAAAUUAUUUUCAAUUAAGUUUUUGGGUACUUUUACGUUACUAUAUUAGAUUGUUUUUACAUACUCGACUUUUAGAUUGCUUUUUACGUACUCAAUUAAGCAUCUUUCAAUCCACGUGAACAGUUAAUAUGCAUAAUCAAACACGUUACUAUCUUUUUUAUAUUUUUCUUUCCUCUGUUAAAAUAUAUUUAAGACUAAUUUUACAAUUAUGAUAUUGAAUUUUCUGUUUUUAUCAGAUACAAUUGUUACAUGUUUUUUAUCAUUAAUAUAGACAUAUGUAUUAGUUGGAGAUUUUUUUAUUAUUUGGGAGAAACACAUAUUUUUAAUAUUUUUUUAUACAAGUUAGAGCAUCCUUCAUUUAAUUUAUUCAAAUAAAAAAAAGUACUCGAUUACCAAAAAAAAAAGUGGAAAUUCAUUAUAUUGGUUUAAGAAGUGAAAAUUGAUUUGCAGUACAUGAUUAUGAAUAUGGGCAUUAAAUUGAUCACUAAAGAAGUACAUGGAUAUAAUUGAUUAUGCUGGCAUGCGCCUCUUCAUUCACAAAUAAAUGCAUGCAGAUUCAGAAACCAAAAAUGCUUUUAUAGAAAGUCCUUUAAUAUAUUUCAUUUGAAAUAAAUGAAGUCAAUAAGUCAAAACUUUGUGUUUUAUAUUUGUAUUUUAAGAAAUAAAUUAGAAAUUCUAAACAAUGUUUAUAUAUAUAUAUAUUAUUUGCAGUUAAAUUCAAUUAAUGGAUUGAUGUAAUGAUUAUAAAUUUAAUUUUUUUUUAAAGUAAUUUAUAUUUACUUUAAUUUUUUUAAAUAUCAUCACACUAAGAUAAAAAUAUGUUACACAUAAAAAUAUAUUGGUUUAAAUAAUUGUAAUGGCAUUUCAUAUAUAUAUAUAUAUAUUGAUAGUUAAUAUUUUUAUUCUCCUAUUUUAAACUAAUCUUAAUUUUCUUCUAUUUGAAAUUAAAACAAAUUAAUUGAAUUUUAGUUCAAUAGCAGUGAUUUUGAUUCUAUUUUAUUGCAAAAUAAUAUUAACAAAAUAAAUUAAAUUUAUAUGAAAGUAUAAAAUUAUAUUACAAAUUUAAUUGUUUUUUAAAAUCCAUGUAAUUUUUAUAAAAUAUUAUUAUUAUGAUAAAUUUAAAUUUUAUUUUAAAUUUUAUAAAUUAAUUACUUCAUAUUAAUCAUCUUUCAAUUUAAUUCAUGUUCAAUUUUAUUAAAAUUAAAUCAAUGGUAUGUUUGCAAUUUAUUAUACUACUCAAUUAAUUUUGUUCAUCAGAUUGAUCAAAUUUCCUAUAGGCUUUUCACCCAGUUACCUCAUUGUGAACUUUUCAUAUUUAUAGUUAUACUUUUUAAAUUAUAAUUAAAAUAAAAAAUAAAGUUAUAACGAAGGUUUGAAAUUAAUUUCUUGUAUUCUAUGGAUUAUAAAUUACUCAGGCUCUUGACAUAGAAAUAUAAAUUUCUUAAGAAUAAAUAUAUCCUAAUAUUUUUUAUUAUUACCUUCUAACAAAUAUAAAAAUAAUAAACAUACGUACUUUCAUAUUUGUAAUAAUAAGAAUAGCCACCUAGCGUGUACUCAUAACAGUAUGAUAAAGACAUUUACUUACUACUACUACCACCAAAUUUUAUUAGCAAAAGACUACCACUUACGAAAAGAAAUUUUCAAAUAAUUAAGUAUUUUAGUGAAAGGCUUUGUCGGAUUGUUUAGGAGGCAAUCAAGUGCUAAAAUGUAGGGCAACAAAAGAAUUAUUUUUGAACCAUUAUAAUCUAACUCCAUUACCAAAAAAAAAAAUUCUUGAAAAACUUAUAAAUAGAUUUGAUAUUAAAAGAACACACAUUAAAGAAAAGUUAUAUAAAUUGUUAUUAACUUCCACUAUCCAGAAUCAAUAAUGAGAUAAUAGGAUAGAGAGAAUGAGUGAGAUAAAGAAUAGAAAAGUUGACUAUUGAGCAGACUAAUUUGAAGUAAAGGAAUAGUAUAGAAAUAUGGAUGGAUAGAGACACGAGGAAGUGCUACAAUGUCAUGUUCCUAGCAAAACUCACCAACCACCUCUUAAGUUUUAGUCCAUCCCGUUGGGCGCCACCACACUCAGCUACCAAGAAACAACCCCAAUGCGCUCUUCCACGUGUCACAAUCCCAUACUAAGUUCCAAUCCAACGCUUCUAAUUACUUUUCAACAAACCCCAUUUCGCAUUCCUUUCAGCUACCUACCAAACACCGUUGCAUGACACCACACGAACCGCACCUCUAUAUAACUCUCCAACCAAACUCUAUUCUUCUCAGGAAAUCCUCAACACACAUCAACAUUUCCUCACUCUCUCUCUCUCUCUCUCUCUACACAAAACUCACCUCCAUUUUUUCAUUCUCUUCAUUUUAUCACGAUGGAAGCAACUACCCUUACCAACGCCCAAAACGGUUCCUUCUGCCUCCCAUCCGCCAAGACCACUGAUCCGCUCAAUUGGGGAACGGCCGCGGAGGCGCUCAAGGGGAGCCACCUCGACGAGGUCAAGCGCAUGGUGGCCGAAUACCGCCAGCCGCUGGUCCGCCUCGGCGGCGAGACGCUCACCAUCGCUCAGGUGGCGGCGGUGUCUGGCCACGACCAAGGCGUGAGGGUUGAGCUGUCGGAGUCCGCUCGGGAAGGUGUU